UGGCCAGACUCCUACGGGAGGCAGCAGUGGGGAAUCUUCCGCAAUGGGCGAAAGCCUGACGGAGCAACGCCGCGUGAUCGAAUGAAGGCCUUCGGGUUGUAAAGAUCUGUUGACAGGGACGAAUAAGCAAUGCGAAUAGUUUUGUGUAUGACGGUACCUGUUUAGAAAGCUCCGGCUAACUACGUGCCAGCAGCCGCGGUAAUACGUAGGGAGCAAGCGUUGUCCGGAAUUACUGGGCGUAAAGGGCGCGUAGGUGGGCGCUUAAGUCAGGUGUGAAAACUCCGGGCUCAACGUGGGAACUGCCUUUGAAACUGGCAAACUGGAGUGUGUGAGAGGAUAGUGGAAUUCCAGGUGUAGGAGUGAAAUCCGUAGAUAUCUGGAGGAACAUCAGUGGCGAAGGCGACUAUCUGGCACAUAACUGACGCUGGGGAGCGAAAGCGUGGGUAGCAAACAGGAUUAGAUACCCGAGUA
rnacentral:rRNA from 1 species